UACGGAGGGGGCUAGCGUUGUUCGGACUGACUGGGCGUACAGCGCGCGUAGGCGGAUCGGUUAGUUGGGGGUGAAAGCCCAGGGCUCAACCCUGGAAUGGCCUUCAAAACUCCCGAUCUAGAGUUCGAGAGAGGUGAGUGGAAUUCCGAGUGUAGAGGUGAAAUUCGUAGAUAUUCGGAGGAACACCAGUGGCGAAGGCGGCUCACUGGCUCGACACUGACGCUGAGGUGCGAAAGCCAGGGGAGCAAACGGG
rnacentral:rRNA from 1 species